GCUUCUGUAGUGUAGUGGUUAUCACGUUUGCUUCACACGCAAAAGGUCCUGAGUUCGAACCUCAGCAGAAGCA
rnacentral:tRNA from 1 species